CCCACUUGUACCUACAAAACAAUUGUAUUUCAUAUAUAGAGAACCUCAGGUCAUUAAAGAAACUGGAAAAACUGUAUCUGGGAGGCAAUUACAUUGCUGUCAUAGAAGGUUUAGAAGAAUUAGGAGAACUAAGAGAGCUUCAUGUUGAGAAUCAGAGGCUUCCCCUUGGGGAAAAGCUUCUGUUUGAUCCAAGAACUCUUCAUUCUCUGGCAAAAUCCCUCUGUAUAUUGAAUAUCAGCAAUAAUAAUAUUGAUGACAUUAGAGACUUAGAAAUACUGGAGAAUCUUAAUCAGCUCAUAGCCGUUGACAACCAACUUCUGCAUGUGAAGGUAGUGUAAAGAGAAAUUAAUUUUUAAGAUAUUUACAUGAAAUUAUGAUUGAAAAAUGUUUUGUAAUAGCUAUAAAAUAAAUAUAUCACAUUAAAAACUA
rnacentral:sRNA from 1 species